UGAAUUUGUUUCUUCCAUUGCAUUUGUCCAAAGAACCGAAGGUCAGGAAAUACAAAAAUAACAGAACUCUACAAAUAUUUUUAAAAUUUCUAGACUGUACUUGAAAUAAUUCCAUUUCAUUCCAUAUGCUUUGCUAUCCCCAAAGUAGGAAUUUUGUGUGUUAAGAGAACUAGUACCACUGUCUGAUAAUCAGCUUCUGAAGAGGAAAAGCCUUCAGAUCAUCUGAACAUCAUACAUUUCAUAAUUAAACCAAAUCUCUUACCUUCUACAAACAUUGACUCUGUGAAACCCAACUGCCACCACGUUGCUUGUAAGCAACACUGGCAUUCUACCAGAGUAACAUCAGAGAACUUGUUAGAGAGUGAAUACUGGGUUUAGAGAUAGAGAAAAAAAGGUUUAUGAACCUUCUGUGUCCAGAUGAAUCCCUGUUGAAUUCUCACUCUGUUGUGGUGACUUAAUCCACAGCCCAUUCAGUGCCCCUUACUACUACCUCCGAAAUCUGACUACAGGUACUAUCUGUGGGUCUAGGAAUCUUGCAAAACUCAAGUUGAGUCUCACCAGGAAGCUGAAGUAACACCUAUUAUGCAGAGAAAGUAUUCCUCUGAAUAUAGAAUACUUUCCAGAGUAUAAUCUCCGAUGAACAAACAGGUGUUUGAUUAUAUGGUCAGUAAA